AAAACCAAACUUACCACCCUGAAUGCGCCCGAUCUCGUCUGAUCUCGAAAGCUAAGCAGGUCCGGGCCUAGUUAGUACUUGGAUGGGAGACACUGGCCCAACUUCUAUAUCUAACUAGUGUUGUUGGCUUUGUAUUCU
ensembl:rRNA 5S_rRNA 5S ribosomal RNA